GACGAACGCUGGCGGCGUGCUUAACACAUGCAAGUCGAACGGAAAGGCCCUGCUUUUGUGGGUUGCUCGAGUGGCGAACGGGUGAGUAACACGCGAGGAGCCUGCCCUUGACUUUGGGAUAACUUCAGGAAACUGGGGCUAAUACCGGGUAGGAGCUCCUGCUGCAUGUGGGGGGUUGGAAAAAUUCGGCGGUUGUGGAUGGACUCGAGGCUUAUGCGCUUGUUGGGGGGGUAGUGGCUGACCAAGGCUUUGAAGGGUAGCCGGCCUGAGCGGGUGAACGGCCACAUUGCGACUGAGGUACGGCCCAGUAUCCUACGGGAGGCAGUAGUGGGGAAUAUUGCACAACGGGCCGAAGCCUGUUGCAGCAACGCCGGGAGCGGGAUGACGGGCUUCUGGGUGUAAACAGAUUUCGACGUUGACGAGGCGGGAGUGACGGUAAUGGGUAAAAAAGCACCGGCUAACUACGUG
rnacentral:rRNA from 1 species